GUUUCAUUAGCAGCCUGAACGCGUUUUCUAAAAGCAUGCCGCUCAGCAACAACAUUUCUCUGUGGAGCAAGACAAUGAAGGCUUUUUUGCGUGCUUCUGACCAUUCAUCUCCUGAUGCACCAAGAACCAGCAUGUACUUACUGAACAUUUUCAGCCACAUUUCGAACGGUAUAGCAGGUUCCCCCGGACAUGGCAGACAUGGCGGAGGAAACGGAGUAGCAGCGACAGCCAUUGUAGACCAUUAGAAGCAAGUAAGGUUUCUGCUGGAAGAAGUGUAGACGAGGCC